rnacentral:rRNA from 1 species
CUGGCGGCGUGCCUAAUACAUGCAAGUCGUACGAGGGAAGUCCAGCUUGCUGGACGGAACGAGUGGCGAACGGGUGAGUAAUACGUAAGCAACCUGCCUGCAAGGACUGGGAUAACAACCUGGAAACGGGCGCUAAUACCGGAUAGGUAACAAAGGGGCAUCCCUAUGUUAUUAAAGGUUAGAAACACAAGCAGAUGGGCUUACGGUGCAUUAGCUAGUUGGUGAGGUAACGGCCCACCAAGGCGAUGAUGCAUAGCCGGCCUGAGAGGGUGAACGGCCACAUUGGGACUGAGACACGGCCCAGACUCCUACGGGAGGCAGCAGUAGGGAAUUUUCGGCAAUGGACGAAAGUCUGACCGAGCAACGCCCGCGUGAGUGAAGAAGGUUUUCGGAUUGUAAAGCUCUGUUGUAAGGGAAGAACAGCACGGAAAGAAUCCGUGAAUGACGGUACCUUACCAGAAAGCCACGGCUAACUACGUGCCAGCCGCGGC